GGGCAGAGAAGGACAUGAAAUCAGAAGGGAAUUAGGAUGACUGCCUUUCCAGCACUCAGGAUGAGACAUGACUAAUUUUCAUCAUAUGGAAUAAUUAAAGUUUGAGGUUCAAGGAAAAAAAAAAAGUGCUAGCAGCAACACAUCUGAAAAGUCCUUGUACCCAUCUAAAAGUUAAUUCCUCUUCAGUGCUUUACAAGUAACCAAAAACACGAAGCUUAAAAAAAAUAGAGCCUGCAAAGGCCUCUAUUAAAGCUGUUCUUUUUAUAACAGUGCAGUCACAAAUCAAUGCAUUGUUAAUGAAGAGUUUUCCUCUAUAGGCCUGUAGAGUUAUGCAGUCUCGAGAUUUGCUCCCAACAUCUUGCUGGGGGGAAGGGUGGUCCGGGAAUUUACACAAUGGGUGCUUUCAGCUCCAUUUACUUCAGAAGAAUCUUGUGGGAUGACCCAGAAGACAGUCCAGCCUUUUCCUCCUCUUUCCAAAUGUAAGGCCAGCUUGUUUCGAAGAGAAAAGGCUGUACUGAUCUAAUCAAUGAGAUCUUCCUGCAAUUUUUAACAGAACCAAAAAUUCACCUUUUCUUCUUCUGGAAGCACAAACAUGAGGAAACACUAGAGACAAGUAGGGCAAAGCUAUUUUGAAUCCGUCUCCAGCUUUGCCAUUAUGAUGUAACUCCGGGCUCGUUACAGAAUCCCUGUGCCUCAGUGACUGACCUCGUCUGUAAAACGGGAUAAUAGUACCUACCUCAUAGAGUUGUUGCGUGGAUUAAAAUGAAUGAAUCGAUGAAAAGUACACAGAACAGUGUCCAGCAUACAGCUGCCAGGCAUCAGGUAGAUACUACUCAGAAGGGGAGAGUUCCA